AAGGCUCUCACUAGGUGGCUAAAAUUUAAGUCCACUAGACGGCGCGGGUGUCUUUUUAGAAAACAUAUUCGGCCAUUAUUUAACGAGACACUGAUCGAGAAGGUAUGCGUUAGGAUGUGACAUGUGGUAUACUUUUUCCUGACAUUUUUCGUCGUACAAAAUGGUAACAUGUCCUUCAGUUUAUACUUGGCAAUCCGGCCAAUUCCAUCUGAUCCCGUGCCUGAAACUGCUGUACAUUUUCUCAAAAUGUCGUCUUUUGCCGUAUGUACCGGCUGUACGUUUCGUCACAUGCUGAAAUACUUCAGAACAGUAAAGCCUGGAGCCUGGUGAGGUCUGAGCUUCUUCAUUGCAGUCCCAUGUGCACAUUGAUUUGUUACAACCAACUGGCGAAAGGUGUACCUCUUGCAGGCUUACUACCUGUACUGGUUGUAGUUUUCGUCACAUGCAAAGAACAAUUUCAAGUAAUUAAGUUUGUAAACUUUUUUUUUACAGUAAGGCUACACAUUUGUUGAUGACAAGCUCUUUGCUUUAUUUCUGUUGACUUUUCAGUUAUAAGGCAAUUUCAGAAGCUUGCCAACUGUAGAUUUCUUUGUUACAUUAAAAUUUUUUUUAA